GUAGACAUAGUUUAAUCAAAACACUAGAUUGUGAUUCUAGCAACAAGCGUUAAUCCCGUUUUGUCCACC
rnacentral:tRNA from 2 species